rnacentral:lncRNA from 1 species
UCCCAACCAAUCUUUCUCUCUUAGUUUUCUCUCUUCUCCCAUUUGAAAAUUCUUAAGGAAUUCUAUUUGUUUGUAAUAUUUUGGAGAUAGUAAAGUUAUCAUCUGGUGUUAGUGCCCGAGGACGUAGGUAUAAUUUACCGAACCUCGUUAAAACUCUUGUGUUUUUUCUUAUCCUAUUUUUCUUUCAAUAUUUGAGGGUAUAAUAGUAGUAUUUAAUUGUGCUAUUAAAUUACGAUAGAAGGGAUAUUCUGACUAAGGAAAGACUUGAUACUUAAGAGAUCCUUGUGAUCCACCUCUCUUUCCUGGGAAUUGAACUUUGUGUGAUUGUUUAGUACAAUAAUUUACACGCUUCCGACCCUAUUGGAACUACAGCACCUAAUCAGGGUCAUGAGAUUGUUGUUGUUUCCGGUGUCAACAAUGGAAUCCCCGAAGGCAAUAACAGCAAGAACCGUUACAUUUGGAGGUAGCUUUACCAAAGCCUUUGUUUCGCACAUCAAAAACGCUAAUAUUACCAAAAGAGGAGACAGCUCCAUGGUAUAUUGAAUGAAGCUGUUAUUUCACUAAGUAUGCAUAUAAUACUGAACUUUGAUAAAAGAUGGUUUGUCUUCCCACUCCUCUUUCUUGGCUUAUUUAUACAUGCAAAUCACAGGAUUUCAUUGAAUGCUAAGCAGAUCAUAAAUUAAAGAGGAAAGAUUUUAUUUCAUAAAGCACAGCCAAUUUUACUUACUUUAUUUAUUUUUCUAUUUUAUGAUUAAUGUUUUUGGGGGGUCGCGGCUGCUAUUUUAAGAAAUGUUGUUUAGAAGGCAUUGUACCAUUUAUGUAAAGGAAUGUAAAUAUUAAAUUUGUAUCUAUACGCCAUCAGCGAAAUUCGUGUUAUAGUGAUAAAUUUUUUUAAUAUAAUCAACAUUUUACAUUUUUUUAGUAAUUUAAUUUUUACUAUUUUUUUAGUUAAAUUUAAUCAUUAAUCUUUCAAAAAAGAUUAAAUUAUUUUUUUAAUAGAUAUGUAGACUAAAAUAUUAAUUUAUUUAAAUUAUUUAACAAAUAAUUUAAAAUUUAUAAAUAUAAAAUAUAAAAAUUCAAAAAAAAGUAAUAUUUUCGUUAAAAAUUUAAUGUGUAAGUUGUCAUGCAAAUUGUCAUAUCUAAAUUUAACAUCAAUAUUUUAUUAAAAAAACAAUCAUUUGAUUUAUUUAUUUUUUGAAAUGUUGAUUAUCAAAUUUAACUCUUUUAAAAAAUUUAAAAUUCAAAGAUUAAUUGACAAAUUAACAGAAAAAUGUAAAAGUUUAUGCCAAAAAAUAUUUAUUGAAAUAAAAUAAAGAAAAACUUGUAAUGUAAUUUAUAUUCAUAUUUCUACCUUCCUAUAAACCAUUAAAACAAAAAGGUAGAGAUGGUGUUAGAAGGUGAAUAAACAUUUAUUACAAAUUAGAUAAUGCUUUUCUUUUUGGAAGAAGAUAAUGCUUGGUAUCACGUAAAUAAAAUUAUUGUAACCUACCCAAGCUACACGUUCCAGUUCUACGUUCAAUUUCCCAGCUUUCUCUUUAUUUUGGUCAUGGAUCUACUGCCAUCUUUCACCCUCUUUUUCUUUCAUGAGUCUUUUUUCUUUUUCUAAAGUGAAAGAAUAUUGUAGAACACAUAUAUAUAUAUAUAUAUAUGCAUAGCAAACAUGAACGACAUUUGGACCUUGUCCAUGGUUCCUCACAUUUUUUAACUCUUUUCUCAUCUAAUUUAUUAUGUAUAAUUUAAGGUUUAUUUAUUUUGUGUUCGUUAAAGAAAAAAAUUAUCUAACUUUAAAUACAAUACUCUAAACCCUAAACUCUAACCUUAAAUACUAAACCUUAAAUUCUUAAAAAAAAAACAACAACAACAACAACAUAAUUCCCCCAAACAUAUCAUAUAUAUAUUUUUUAAUAUUUUAUUUAUUUAUUAUAUAAUACUUAGAAUUACUAAUAACCCUCUCUCAAGUCUCAAUCUCUAAAUAGGAGUACAAACACAUUUCAAAACAAUUAAAUUCACGAUAACAAUGUCAAUACCAACCGAACUAAAACUCCAUAUUUUUACUACACUUCCCUACUUUAAAAUUUUGAAAAGUUUAAACAAGUCAACUAUUCUGAAAUAAAUUUCAUUGAUCAUAUAUACCCAAAAUGGUAGUGAAUGAAAAUGAUGAGACGUGCGUAAUGCAUUUUUCUUUGUUAAAAUUUGACAGAUAAUUUUAUUUAUUAUCCAAGUUAAGACAGAUGUACAAAAAAAAAUUGCAAAUUAAAGGAUUCCUAAUAAGGCAAAGAAAAGUCGCAAUCACAACCUCCAACUGCCACAAUUAGUUUAUAAAUUGCCCAACCCCGCUGGCAAUUAUGAUCCUAAUCCUACAUAUAAACCACAAAUAUCUCUUAAAUUUUCAACUAAAUCUAGUUUUGGAUUGAUUUUAAGUUGUAAACUUUGAAACCAAAAGUCAAUUAAAAUUUGAAUUAUUUUAAAGCUCAACACCACACCUGGGAAUGAAGUUGGUUGGAAUUGUUUACAAGUCUUUGAAAUAUUUUUUAUUUCUUGAAAUUAUUAGAUGAAUAAAUAAAACUUGGAUAGAAUUAGAGUUAGAAAGCUAUUGUUGCAUACUCACUGCCAGUUUGAUUUACACUAAUUAUACGUUAAAUCUUAUAGCUUAGAUAUGCAGGAAAUGUUUUGGGUUUCUUAUUAGUUACGGAUUAAUCUUUCCAUCUUAAGUGCAAUGCAUUAUUGUGGUGAUUACAUCACAUUUUGUAUUAAACAAUAAUAUUUUUGAUUGAUUAUUAAACUAUAUAAUUUCUAUUUGAUGGGCGUUUAAGAGAACCAGAGCCACGAAAGGAACUCUGCCAACAGAUUCGUGACAGGUGGAGAGAAUGGUAGGAAGCAAUUGUACAAGUUGAGGAAAGAGCUAAGCUUUGAUGAAGAAGAGGUCACAUGGAUAGGUGAAAAAAGCAUGAAAGACAAGCCACAGUUAUCUUCUUUAAGACGACAGUAUCUCUUGCUUGGGAGCUUAGGUGACUGAUUUGCCACAAUUGCCAAUUUUAUUUGAUUAACUCGUCUCUCCCUUAUUUCAUUCACAUUACGCCAAAUGCGUAUUACUCCACUAGUAGCAGAAAUUCCACCCUGCAUCAUUAGCCAAGACACGUUGACUCAUUAUCGCAUAGAUUAUGAAAGUUUGGUUAGUUCACACGUGGUUUAAGAGAACAAUUUUAUUACAUAAGAUCACAUAACUCAAGGUACUUUUACAUUUGUCUAGAUAUAUAUAUGCUUUCACUUACCAUAUCAUCUCAGUUUUCAAAUUCCUUAAGUCAUUGUGUUAAUCUUGUAGUUUCCUCAAAUUUCUUCCUUUUCCUUGGUUCAUUUACCCACUCUAUCAGCCAAUAUCAACAACUAAGAAUUUAUAUUUAAUACUAAUAGUCAGAUAAUAAUAUAUUACAAAUAUUUUAAAAAAUAAAUAUAUUUCAUUUCAUUUUAAUGAUGAGUUAAUAUACAAUAUCAAUGUAUCAAAUAUAAAAUCUUAAUUAAUUGGAUAAUAUUCAUUGAUCCCUAAAACAUUACAUGUACGUUACAUUAGAGUUUAGUGUUUAAUCUUUAAUUCCUUUCGAUUCCUAUACAUCUUCUUUAAUUUGAUUUAUGAUAAUAGACCUAAGGCUAGAAAUAGAAUGAUUCUCCGAAUUUAAACCAUUUAAUUUUAGAGUUGGGAACUUUAACUUAAACAUAAUCUCUCUAACUAAACCAUGAGUAUCGUCAUUAACCUAGCGUUUGUUAAAUGCAAGUAAUGCCAUUAAAAGUUAUGGCUGCCUUUUUGGAAGAAGGAACGGAAUCUUGCAAAUGUUUAUAAAAUUGAAGAGAAUUAAUUAUAGAGCAUUCAGUUGUUACCAACCAAACCAAGCAGUUGUUGAGAUCUCUCAUCUGCUCCUUUCUAUGAUAUUGGUCAACAAAAAAUUUGAAGGAACACCAUCUUUAAUGUUGAUUUUUGACAAUAAUGUCAAUGUAUAAUACACACAUUUAUGGCCAAAUCUUUGAAUUAUCUACAGAUGCGGAAUAGUGGCUUAAAGGCAGUGAAAUUUUAGAGGAUGCUGCAGUCCACAACUACAAGCAAUAUACAAGUAUUUUGCAACAAUGCCAAUUAACUGAUAUCAAUUUUCUAAAGUGGCAAAAAUUGAAUUUCUUUUGGAACUACAGCGGAAUUACCGUGUCAACUUCUCAAUUCUCACGUAGCAUGAUAACAAUACUAGACUUAGCAGCUGUGCAGUUGGAUAUAGAAGGCCGGUGCUUCUUACAAUGUUGAAUAUCAGUAAUGAUGAAUAAUGAAAAUAGUAUGAGCCCUAGCCUUAAAGUGAUUCCUACGUCCGGAACUAUUUUUCAAAGGCUUUGUUCAAGGUUUCAAGCACCAGUCGUGGGCUAUUGUUGGGGUAGAAUAAUCAUUAUCAGUAUUCAAUGUUAAGUGUGUAUAUAUAUUCUUCCGCUUGCACCCAACAAUUGCAGAAACAUAAAGCAAGCGCAACCGUGGCGCUGGGAAACACUCAUUGCAAUCACUAUAGAUAAAAACGGUCCGUAAAUUUUACACAAAAGACUUGAUUAAAGAUCAAGAGAUAAGUUCCAUAUUCACAAUAACUUGAAGAGAUGACAAAAGAGAUAAUAGAGAGCUCAUCCGUAUUAGUUUAUUAUAAACACGACCUCAACAAGAAAUUAAUAGAGAAAAAGAGCAAUUCACUGGUGACAAAAGCGCAUUGAUCAAUGGGCACUAACGAGAAAAGGAUGCUGGCACACCCCACAUUCAAUGGUCUCAGAACCUGAGCUUGGAACUUGAACCUGCAAAAUAAUCUCGAAUUCAGCCAAUUUAUAAUAACACUUAACGGUAAGCUUGCAAUCAUGAAAUGGUGCUCUGCAUGGAUUACAGACCUGCAAAUGAACUGUGCAUGUAGGACAGGCAACUUCCUUCAUCCGCCUACCAGAGCCAUCAGACAUGGAGCCUAUCAAAAUGAAACCGUUUAAGAAAGUUCAACAUAACUUUAGAUGUCCCCAUUUAUUAAAUGUGAAAAACAACUGAUCCAGCCCCGUCUUCUCACAUUAUUCAAGCAAAACCCUGAGCUCAAUACAUUUAUGCGCUCUUCCAUUUUAUGUUACUAAUACGAUAAUAUACAUGCUCUGCAAGUAACUCAUUUCACAGUAUCAUACAACACUCUAAGGUACAAGUAGUUACCUGAUGAUGCUCUGCGACUUCUCCCCAUCUCUUCCUGUCAUAAGAGAUCACAAUUGGACAAUUCAAAUAAGUAAUUUAGUCAGAUUGACACAAAUUAAUUUAUGAUCAACAUUAAAAAUCAUAUAGUUCCAAAACGAUGUAUACCUGAAGCUUCCUAGCAAGAUCCUCGUGGCUCUGCAAUACAGUAGGUUUACUUGCUAUUUCCUUAGCAUUAUUCAGCCUCUGAGUCACUUCAGCCUACAGCAGGAGGACAAGUACUAAGACUGAUAGGAAUAUUACAUAUGACAAUUCCUUUCCCAAGAAAAGUAAAAAGAAAGUCAUUCUUUCAUAAUUCAGCAAACAACUAUGAAAAAUACGUUCAUGCUUUCCAGGUAUUCAACCUUCCCUUGAACAGCCUAAUCAAGUUCAGUUGCCUCAACCACUUACCAGAUGCCUCUAAAGACUUCAAAUAAAAGCUUUAAAGGGGAAGAGAAUAAUAGUUCAAGGUUAAACCACAGGACAACAGAUAUCCUUAAUGACUCUUCCAUUUGGUCAGAGGCUUUAAGUAAAGGACACACUAGAAAUACAAGGACUCUACAUGUUCAACCAAGACAGUGUACGAUCUGUAUAAUAGGUCCUUGUCAUCCUGGACUCUUACCACAAACCAAUGCCUAACACUCGUAUGCUAAGUUCUGAAAACUAUAAACAUGAGAAAUAAAAACAGAAACUAUUUUGUUAGGAAAGGUGAGAAACAGAUUGAUAAGCAUACCAUGCAUCGGUCACAAACCCUAACUUGUGGAGCACUCUCAUCAGCAGUUAGAGCAAUUCUACCAUGGGUACAUUUGUCACAGAAAAUAUCCCCGCAGUUCCUGCAGUGGUGCUGAAAAGAAAAAGGACAGAACGCAUUAAACUUAAAUGUCAAAUAAGGCAAGCUGAAAAUCUUUUCCAAACAUGGGGACUGACGUACCUUCCGCACAAAAGCCCCAAAAUCUGUUGCACAAGCAGUGCAUUUUGAAACAGCUUCAUCAGGCACCUAACCAGAAAAAGGAUAUAAAAUAAGCAUAUUAUGAACUUUUCAGAUGUGAUUUUUGUUACUUGACAUGCAAUAUACGUCUAUGGAACUCUAAUCUUUACCCAGUGAUCUUUCUCCUCAGCACCAGGUUUUAUAAUGUUCAUCCAAUCAACAUAUCCUCUCUUCUUUUCUGCAGGUUGUUCAGCAGCCUUGGCAGAUUCAGGAGGCCGACUUUUCCAACCCAUCUCCUUGAUCUGCAAUCAAAAUGUAGGAGAGUAAAGUCAUCUAAACACAUGCAAAAGUGCAUGCAUGUCUGAUGUGCCGAUCAGAGGACAAAAAAAAAAAAGAAUCAAGUUAUACAUGCAUGAGGAUCAAGAUAGUAAAGAAGAAAACAUUUUGAGCAUGCAUACAGCCUACAGGCACCACAGCAGAAUAACAAUCUUCCAUAUCUUUAACAAGACUGAAAGGCUCAUUAUUUAAGAAUUUUUUAGUGAUGCAAAUGAAUCACAUAUCUUAACAUUGCACUCUCUUCUGAUAGGCACUUCAAAAUCCUAAUGGUAGUAUCAAAAGAAACAUAAUUAUUCUAGCAGAUUAUAUUUUCUUAAGCUAUAACAAACACUGCACAACUGUACUUCACUUCGUUCCUAAUGAUUACUGAACACAAAUUAGCUAAUUUUCUGCACCCAUGUGUACAUGUAUUUCUGCAAAUAAAUGAAUUAAUAACCAAGUCUGCAUUCAGUCUUUUGAGUAGGUUUUCAUCCAUUUGCAACAAUGCUGAAUCCGUCAGAAUAUGCUUACUGCCAAUAAGCACCACAGCAGAAUGACAAUCUUCCAUAUCUUUAACAUGACUUAAAGGCUCAUUAUUUAAAAAUUUUGAGUGAUACAAAUGAAUUACAUAUCUUGCCAUUGCACUCUCUUCCGAUGGGCACUUCAAAUUCCUAAUGGCAGUAUCAAGAAAUACAAAUUUACUCUAGCAGGUUAUAUUUUCUUAAGCUACAACAAACAAUACACAAUUGUAUUUCAAUUUGUUCCUCCUGAUUCCUGAACACAAAUUAGCUGGUUUUGUGCAUGUAUGUGUACGUGUAUUUCUGCAAAUAAAUGAAGUCCGCAUUCAGGUUUUAGUCCAUGUGCAACAAUGCUGAAUCCGUCAGAAUACAACUCUAUAUGACAAUGCUGAAUAGUGCUAAGAAUCAUAAAAACAACUCCAUGAUAUAAAGCAACGACUACUUCUAACUGAAAAGUUGAAAUACCUUGGAUAAGGAUCAAGAAUAUACCAAGUACUUGCUAAAACAGGAAAAAAAAAAGUAGACAAAGAUGAUAGCAUUAAGUCAUUCAAAUUAAACAGUUAAUUCUCACAAGAAAAUAAGAAAAUUAUAACUCUCUGAGACCCACCUGUACAGUUGCAGCUGUUACAAUAUCCAGAAGGGUAUUGGUAGUGUAACUGUUUGACUGCAACCUGAUCCGUCUUGGUUCAAUGUCAACAGAGCUUUUGGACCAGAAUGCAAAGGUGGAUGAGUCCAACACCUAGGUUACAAGAAAAAAUACUUUUUAUUACAAUGACCACGUCAUUAAAAGAAAGAAAACCAAAGAGAAAAACACCGGGAUGAGAGGAGUAGGGAGGGAGGAGAAAGAAAAUAAAAAUACUAGGCAACUCACUUCACAUCUUGUGAUGUUCUCUAGAGGAUAUAUUCUCAAUAUUCGACUGCUGCUAGGCUCAAGCAUACGAAUACCAUCUAAACCAAUCUGUCACCAAAUAAAAUAAACUAUAUCACGAGUUCGAAGUACUGGAUAAACAAAUAAGGGGCUAGCAGACACAAUUAUAAAUCAAUGAUAGAAAGAUGAACUAUAAUGAUGAUAAAUCAUACAGCACUAAAGGACUUAUCAGACAAAAUUUGAAGAACCUUCAAAGCAUUUUAACCAUCCAGUUUACGUUUACACAUAAUUCAACAAUACAACCAAUAUUGUUUAAAUCAAAUAGAAGAAACUUCAUCUCUCCAGCCAAAUGUGAAUCAAGUCCGACGACGUUUAACUAAAAGUUACCUGGCAAAGUACGUCCAUGGGGCCGUGUGCUCCACUUUCAGACAACAACUUAACACGAAAUUUCUGGACACCGCUCUUUACAUCUUGCUGGGUGUCAUCCUUCGGCACCGCCCUCAAAAUCUUACCAGCGGCUGAACCUGACCCACCAGACGAGUCCUUCCCAGAAGGGAUAUUAAUAGAUCGCCCAUAAUCAUCGAAUUGAACCCAAGUCGACGAUUUUCGGGCUGUACCACGUGCCCCAUAAGGCUCCGCCUUUCCUCCUUCAUAAGCAUAAACCCCGUCACCAUACCCACCAUCAUCACCGUAUCGUGAAUAGCUAUCCGAUCGCUUUCCAUAGAGAUCGGAUCCUAAAUCGGAUCUGUUGAGAUUAUAUCCUCCUCCGUAUUUAUCGUCGAAAUAACUGCCACCGCCGUGAUCGAAUUUCAUGGAAUUGUCGUAAGCGUUUUCAUAAGCGGGAUGGACAGCUGAUACCGAUGAUCCAACUUGGCCGUACGGAUUUGAAUAGUAAGACGGAUUAGGCGUGGGGUUAGGGUUGGGGUUUGGAGGAGCAGGACCGUAGCUGGAAGCCGUCUGAUGCUGAUCAUACUGCUGGAAAUAAGGAGGCUGGGAGGCCGGAGGCUGAUAGGGAACAUGUGAAUCAUAUGGCGGAAAAGAAGGAGCCGCGGUCGCCGAGGGUGGCGCCAUGGGUUGUUGAUUGAAAGACGAUUGUGGAGCUAUGGCCGGAGCCGGUGGAGUGGUUGUGGCUGAGGGUGGAGGAGUAUAAGCGGAAGCAGUGGGAGGGGCAGCAUCAAGAUUUUGGGAAUACGGAGGGUAAUUUGGGGGAUAAACGGAGUAAUCAGAGGAGGCAUAACCGGAGCUAAAAGGUGGUGCAGAUGCGUAAGGUGCUUGGUGAAAUUCGGAGGGUACUGGAUUGGGGUUAGGGUUGGGGUUGGAGUUGGGGUUUGAAAGGUAAGGAUAUUGAUAAUAGGAGCUGUAAUCUCCUAGUUGCAUCGUUGAUCUAACCAAAAUUCUUCUGUGUUUGCCGAAAGAGAAUUGCUAUGGCCUUAGUUCUUCGAUUCCUAUCUUCUAUUGGUUGCAGAGUCAAAGUCGAUGAGGAGUCGGGAAUGGGGAAAAUUAUAUGUGCAUAAAUGUAUUGAGAUUUGGGUAUAUGCUAGACGCGUGGCAAGAUCUUAUAGGGUUAACUCAAGCGAAAUAACAGGUGGCCAGCCGUUAGAUGAUAAUAUUCGAGCCUGCUAUGCCACGCCAAUGCUUGAUGCCGACAUUGUUGGGCCGUUUGGGCUGAUGAAGCUUCUAACCCUCAAUAGUCACCUGGCUGCUAAUUGGAGAUUUGAACCUGGAGACUUAAUUGGGCCACCGAUUUUAAUAUUAUUCAUUUAAUGAAUGUGUAAUUAUAUUUUCUUCUAAAUAUAAAGAAUUUUAAUUUCAUCCUAAUUAUUUAUGCUGAUAGUAAAACAUGUGAUUUUAUUGUUACAUAAUUUAUAUUUUUUAAAAUAUUAAUUAUUAUAAAAAUUAUUAAUAUGAUGAAAAUAAUUUUUAAAUAAGUAACAAAUAUUAAAAUCAAAUCAUCAUAUGUAUUAUUUAGUUUAAAAACACAGUUGAUAAUACGAUUACUGAUAAAUAUCAUAUGCAAUUUUAUCUAAUUGUUUUAACGUAUAUUUGGUUGGUUAUUCCAUCUUUAAUGUUUAACCUAUGCUCUUUAUCAUUAUUCGUUGGUUUUUGAUCGAAUUCUUUAUCGUCUGAAUUUAAAUAUGCAUCAUUAAUAUUAUUAAAAUCUCUUUAUUUUAUGUACUUUUCAAAAUAUAAAUCAUCUCAAUUUCACCUAUGAUUUAAGUUGCGAAAUAUACUACAUGCUAGUACGAUCCAACCUUCUUUUUUAUAUAUUAUAAUCAUGGGAUGUUAAUAUGGGAAAUAUUUUUUUAAAACGGUAAAUGUCUUAUUAAUCAUAUUUCAAAGCAUUGAAUGUAUCAAUUUAAAGAGUCUAUGAAUUGUCUAUUGUUCUUUUAUUUGGAAACAUUCUCUCAAAUGGUAUCAUAUUCUACAAUAUGGUGCUAGAAAACCUAUUGUAUUUAGGUUCACAGAUCAAAUAAUUUAUAACUUUAAUUAUAAAAAUUUAUUUUGAAUAAAGACUUAUGUUAUAUCUCUCAUUGCGGUACGUAAAUUAAGUAAAAAUAAAUAAAUUUUAUAAUAUAUAACUUUUAUAAAUAAGCUUUUAUAAAUUGUCCAAUAACUUUCAUAACAUUUCUUAUAAAUAUUUUAUAAAUAAUUUUAAAAAGUUAUAUUUUAUAAAUAAAUUAUGAUAAAAAAACUAUAAGACAUUUUCUUAUGAAUAAGUAUAUCACUAUUAUAAAUAUAAUAUUGACACAUAAAUAUACUUUUAUAACAUGUAAAUUAUUUUUUUCAUUCUAAAAUAAUAUUUUUUUGUUAUAACUUUAUAAAACAUACAAAAUAUUUUCAUAAUAUAUUUUUAAGAUUAAAAUAUAAUUUUUUUUGUCAUAAUCAUUUCAAACACGCAUAUGUGUUUAUGCUUAUCAUUUAAUUUUUAUAAAAUAUAUACAAAUAAUUUUUUUUAAAAUUAAAUUCGAGUGUAAUUACUCAAAUUAUGUUAUAAUAAUAAUUUUUUACAAUUAGAUUUUUAUAAAACAUAUACAAUUAAAUUUUUUAUCAUCACAUAGCUUCCUAAAAAAUUGAAAAAUAUAAUUAAGGUGCUCCAAUUACAUUCAAGUGAGUGAGAUUCACAAAUUACGAUAACUAUUCAAAUAUGUUAUCACAAUUACAAAUAAUUACACCCAAAUUUUGUUUUCCUAACAUGGUUAAAUUGAAUUAAAAUAUUUUUAUUUUUUUAAUUAUUUGUGAUGAUUUUUUUUGGUUCUUGAUUUAUUUCAUAGUAAAUUUUUUUAAAAUUUUAUUUUAUAAAAUAAGAUUUGUUUUAUGGGUUUUCAUGUUAAUUGAUAAUGUUUUAUAGUAUUAAUAUUUCUAAAGAAAUAACGUUUCAAGUAAAUAAAAAAUAACCAAAUAAAUUUUAUUUAUUAUUUUUUGAAAACAAAUUAAAUAGUAACAAUAUUAAAAUAAUAUUUAUUUUAACAAAAAAAGUUUUUUAAAUAAAAUAUAGUUUAAUGUCGUUCGCCAUUGUAACCUGUGAACCAAAUAUUGUUCAUAUGUUACGGUUUAAACCGAUUUUAGAUUUUUUUUUUUUAAAUUUUUUUCUGGGCCUUAUUAUUUUAUAUUUUUCAAAAAAAAAAUUUAAACUACAAUAAUAACUAAAUUAAUAUUUUAAAAUUAUCGAAUUUUAACUUUAUAAAUACUUAAACUAAAUCUUAAAUAUUGCCCAUCCUUAUAAAUACCAUGUAUUGAAUAAUAAUUGAUAAGCCCCAAAAUGAUACGAACCUAAUAUCUAAAUAAAACUUUUAAGGAUCUCAAUCUUUUAAAUAGGGUACGAUCCUCAAUCCAGAUAUGAAACAAAUUUAAAAUUCAUGAUCAAUAUGUACCCACUUAAUGGAUCUACAUAACACAAAAAUUCCCAGUGAAAAACCAAAAAACAACUAGGGUAAAAUGCUCGCAUUUUAUUUGAUAUUUCACCAGUCACCACCAAAAAGCCACAUAAUUACGCAAAAUAACAAUCGUUCUAGGAGAUGGACAAGAGGUACGAACAUGAACUACAGUAGGAAAUUCUGGUUUUUAGUUAGAGCUGUUUAUGAGAACUGUAAAAUUAACCAUACAGCACCAAUUUUUUAAUAAUAUAGAAGUAAUCUUAAGCCGAGUCACACUCUUGCCUAUGCAAUGGGAAGUUUCACUUUCUAGCAUUAUUAUUUUCAAACACUCUACUCACAAAUUUGGGUUGAUUGUGCUGGGACUUCUAUUCUAGCACCCAAAUUUGUUCUCUUACUCCUUAAUUCUAGCAGACUCUCCCACAGCAUUUUCCAUCCGACCAUACCAUUCACCGAUACGUGUAUGUUCCACCAUAUCUUUACCGGAUGUUAGAUAUCGGAUAGGCCUUAGAACACCAAAAACAGCAAGGUCGGCCAAAUUGGGUUUUGAACCACCUGCUAAUAGAGAUUACACUGAGAUGUUAAUGGUUCGUGAAUAAAACAUUUCAUAUAUUUUGCCAAAAACACACUAGACUGCAUAUCACUGUUAACUAAAACACACCAAGAUAAUGCCGGCCGUUCAAAGCAUCCACCCACGUUUCAGCAGCUUCAUACAAGGCUGCUCUCUCAUCAGUAAUGUUGUGCUUCUUCUUCAGUUUCUUUGAGACAAAAUACAUAGCUGCUGCCCCAGCAUACUUUGCUACCAACCUCUCUGUGAAACUGAAAUUGCCUACAUUUAUCAGAAAACAACAUAAAUUAAAGAUGAAUAGCAGAAUACCAUCCUUUCUCUCAUGAUUUUAAAAGUUUUUAGAGCAAGAUGCACAAAAAAAAUAUUACGUUCCCUACAAUUUAAACAAAUAAUAGCAGUACAAGUAAUCGACUAAAGAGAACCCACUACCCAGCAUGACCGACAUUGACAAGAAAAAAUAUUUAUUUAAAAUAGUAGAAAACAACAUGAUGCUAAAUGAGGUUCAAAUACCAAAACCUGCAAAGCAAAGCAUUGCCCAUCAAUCUCAACAACAACCAUGAAUUAACAAAGUGCUGACUUCAUUCCAAGUUAAUUAUAAACCUAGAGUCAAUAACACCAAACUGCCGAUAGCUGUAAAUAUCCUUCCAUCCAUUCCACAUAGUUAAUCUUUAUUCCCAGCAACUAAAAUUUGUGCAACAACAACCAUGAAUUAACAAAGUGCUGACUUCAUUCAAAAUUAAUUAUAAACCUAGAGUCAAUAACAUCAAACUGCCGAUAGCUGUAAAUAUCCUUCCAUCCAUUCCACAUAGUUAAUCUUUAUUCCCAGCAACUAAAAUUUGUGAAAGAUAUAAAAUAACACUUACAACCAAAAAUGGUAGCACAAAUAUAAAAGUCUAAUAUAUCUUCCAUCUAUAUUAAAUACAAAUAAAUCUUUGAAUGUAGAGGAAAAGUUUAUCUUACCAUGAGUGGUGAUAUAAUCAAAUGAUUCAAGUGCCUCAGAAGUACUUCGAUAUAUAUUUGGUGAUAAAACAUGCACCAAGUGAUUAUCCACCCACCUACAUUACAGUAUCACCAUAAAUUAUAAUGAAAGCCUGACUCCAUAUUGAUGGUAAAUCAACAAUGAUGAGAAAAUUCUUCAAAAUAGGAGUAACAUGAAUUUUGUCUAAAAAUUUGAUAGACUCUUCCUCUCACAAAUAAUUGGCAAUCUUCACAGAAGUCCUCUGAAUAAAACAGUAGCAACUUUUGUAAUCUAAUAUGAUAAACAAUCAGAGAUGUAUGGGAACAUACUCACGCCAUUUCUUCUCUUCACCAUCACGAAUGGAGCUAUCGGGGUUGAUCCUAUGAAAAAGCUUAUCGAUUAUAUCUGGAACACAAAUAAAGAAUGCUAAUGUUAACUUAUAAGGUGAAAAUAUAUGUAACUAUCAAAACACAGUAGACAAUUGAUUGAGACUCGAGAGAGAGCAAAUAACCAGAAGAAUCAACCAUCUGUUCACCGUCAACUUUAAGUAUAGGCACCUUCUUAUAAUCAGACCACUUUAUCUCCUUUUUGCUGAUGGGAUUGACUUCCACAAUUUUAUAUGGAAUGCUAUAAUAAUCCAAAAAUGCUGUAAUAAAGAACAAUAGGUUCAAUCAAAUGAAUUACAGAAAAAAAAAUUGAAGGGAAAUAAAAUAACUCAAAUAAAUUGUGCAGAAAAAAGGAAAGGAAAGAAAGAAAAAAAGAGGGGCAGUUAAUAAAAUGUUGGGGAUCAAAUGAAAAUUAAAUUCACUUCACUUCAUUUCAGCAUGAGUUUAUGGUAAACCAUUACAGUGUCUGACUAAUAAAUAAUCACGUGCAAAAUGGAUGGCCUGUCACUCUUUAAGAUUCUGAACAAAGCAAAACACAUAUUCCACCGAUUACAAGAAACUUAAGAAGUUCAUUUAUUCCUAAACAACAUAACAAAAUCACACGUACUGAUAUGCUUUAGUUCCAAGACUUCAUACCAACUAAGCUAUCUGAUCAACACCACAAUUCAGUAUGUUAUCACUAUCUCAACUGUCUAGACCCCUUUACAAUCAUCAAUCAAAUAAAGCUUUAUAUAUUCAUCAGAAAAGAAAAGGGAAAUGAAAAGAAAAACGAAGUUAAAACCCAAGUCGUCUAGCGAUCCUUUUUCUCACACUCAAAUUUUACAAGGCAUGUUGAUAAAAUAAGCCUGAAACUAUGAAAAUGUGUCAUUUUAGAUAUUACGGCCAAUUAAACCGUCAAAAUAGUUAGAAAGCUUAACAAAAGGAUAUGACCAUAAUUACACAAUUUGUAUAAUUCAAAAUAAAAAAGCUAACUUUAUGUUCAUGCUUAUUUUAAACUGAAGUCCACCCUCCAUUUUUUGAACUUAUUCUUCACAAGAAACUCAUUUCUAUUAAGAAAUCAAAGGAAAAAAAAAUCCAGGAAACGAGGAUAAUAUCUUAAUGUGGGAUUCGCUCCGAGACAGAGUGAUUUUAUUUACCUUUAACCUUGUUACAAAAAGGGCAAGCUUCAUACUGGUAGAGAACGACUUCCUUGGGAAGGAACUUUUCAGAGCGAGGCUUCUCCUUAGCAAGAGCAUCUUGAGCCAUAGAAGAUGCUGCCACAGAAAACAACAUAGUCCCCGCAACCCUGCGCACGAGGGAAGGACGCGAGAGCCCUAAUCGAUCAGCGAGUUUCUGCGAGAAAAUAUGAGAAUUUGACGAUGAAGAAGAGCAUGUACUCAUCAACGCCGCUUGAGCCAGCCGUUUCUCAACGGCGCCGCCACAGGUUAAGGCUCUGCCGACAGUAGCGAGUCCGUUGACUCUUCUCAUGGUUGCAAAUCUAAAUUGCGAUGUCGAUGUAUGUUAUAGUUUCCAGAACUUCUCGAAUUCCCCCUGUUCUUAGUUAAACACUUAAACCACUAAGGUUUAGGGUUUAAGUUUGGUCUACGUGGCAUUUGCUAUGUCCACGAAACAAAACGACAUCGCUUGAUGAUACUAAAGGCUAAAAGUCUAAAAGGAAAAGUCAAUUCCAAAUUGAAUACGUGACUGAAAUUGGAUUACCAAAACGACCAAAUAGACCAUUAAAAAUUUCAACGAAGAGGCUUGUAAUGCAGGCCAAGCGGGGAGGGUAUCAUCGGUCGAUCACUAAUUUUUCACACUAUAUAUAGCCGUCCUCUUUUCUCAUGUUUUAAGAGAUUUCAAAAACCUCAGCCGUCAGUCAAAAAAAAAAACCCUAGCCGUAGUCCUCUUGGUUUUUAGGUUUCUUUCUAGAAGGGAGAGUUCUGUAAGAGAUCUAUUAUUUUUUAGUUCAUAAGUUUUUUCGUAUACUGAACAAUCUUUUGUUACUGAUUCAUAAAUUUCUCGUGGAAGUUCUUGGGAUUUCGAAAAGAAAAAUCCGAUAAUGUCUCGGUGCUUUCCUUACCCGCCCCCAGGAUAUUUAAGGCAGGGGUUUGCCGAAUCCAUUAAGGUUCGUUGAGCAAAAGUAUUUGGUUUUCACUUCUGUUGCUCAACUGCAUGCUUCUGUGGUAGUUGAAUAUGAUUUGGGUUUGUGGUUUUUUUUUUCAAUUGGAAUAAGUUAAGUUAUAUUAAAGGAAUCGCUUGACUGACUGUUGUUACUCUGUAAUUAUGAAUUAGAAAGAUUUGUACAAAUAGCACUCCCAGGUGUCUAAAUAAAUUUGUAGAUAAGUCUGAAUCCUUGGAUUUGAUUUUGAUUUAUUUAUAUGGAUGUGAUUGAAAAUCUCCGUAAUUUUAUACUCUUUUAACUGGGACGAGAGUUUAUUACUUGUGGGCCCUGUUUGUCCAGCGUGUUUGAAUUCAAUUUCUGAUUGAUCUCUGAUAGAACGCUAUAUCAAUUUAAAAAUUCCCAAACUUCCAAGGUUAAAAAUCAUGAUUCUUUGGUCAUCCGUUUCAUCUAAAUUUCAUACUGUGUUGUGCAAUAAAGCUCGAGAAUGAGAAGGUACCGUCCAAAACAGAACAGAAAAUACACAAGAGAAGUGAGAAGAAGCAGAAAAAGAAGGAAAGAGAAAGAAAGGAUAAAACGCAUGGUCUCGCCAAGAAAUUUAAGCAUGAUGAUUCCCUAAAUGUCUAUAAAUAUGACCAAUUGGAGAAUAGUGAUCUUACCGAAGAACAUGGGCCACCUGUUUGCUACACAUCUGAUGGCAGCCAAAACAGCAACAAGAGGAAAAGGGAAACUUUAUUCUCUAGUGAAUGCAGGGUUAAUGGUAAGUUUUUUUCAUUGAUUAAUCAGAGAGGUUCUGCUUGCUUAUUGGUUUGUUAGAGGAAUAUAUGUACAGGUAUUUGGGAUUUUAAUUGUUAUAUUUUUCAAUGAACAGGUAAUGCCGUAAAGAUAUGGUUUACCUUGAAAAAGCCUUGUCAAUCUGCUGCAUCUCUUAGUGAAGAAACAGUCUCUACCUCUGUGAGGUCGGAUUCCACUCAAGAGCAAUGUUCAUCUCGGAGUAUAAAAGCUAAUACAGUUACUCAUGUGCCUGAACAAAAUCUAUGGCACAAUGAUGAAAGGAGAUCACAAAUUCCCUCUUCCGAAACUUCAGUGCGUGACAGUGAGAUGCAGAAUGCUGCAUUUCCAUAUGAAAGCUUGAUCGAGGGUUGGAUGCCACCUCUCGUUGAGCUAAGUGAUGACAACGGUGAUUACUGGCUUUUUAAGGUCAAGCAGCAAGGACAAACGGCCGCUAAAACAUCUAAAGUUGACAGUGGUGUUACUACUUGUCGUGGUUGUGCAACUUCAUGGCCAAGUGCUCAGUUUGUUUCGGAGGCUGAUACUUAUGCACUGCCUUAUACCAUUCCAUUUUGAUUGUUAUAGCAAUCUGACAACAGCACUUAGUGGAGGGGUAGUUUUUUCCUCGACCCUAAUUGUUUUAAUCAGUUUCAUAAAGUUGUAUUGAAGAGCAGAGAGCCGGGAUUGGGCUACAAUCCCGACCUGUGACACAAUUUUGUUUGUUGGCCAAACACUAACAUGUAUCAUUUUAUAAAAUUUCUAAUUGGAAACAGAAUUUCCACCGAAGAUACUCUCUGCUUUCUUUUCUGACAUUUGAAUUGUAUAUGUUUCGUGUUUAUUUUUAAUAAGGUUAGUAAAUCUCAAUUUGAUUAAAAAGUUAAUAAAUUUAAAUUUCUGAGUUAAACUAUUUGUAUUUGAAUGAUUUGACUUGUGUUGAAUUUUAUAAUUUGAAUAAUAGAUUAGUAUAAAUAUUUUUUUGGUUUUUGUUAAUUUUAAAAAUAAGUAAAUUGGUAGUAAUUUUUAAAAUUUAAAAUAUUUAUAAAAAAUAUUAAAUUUUGAAUUUUUUAAAAAAUAUAAAAAUUCCUAAAGAUUUAUUUUUUAAAAUUUUAAAAUAAUAAUUUAUUUAAUUUUUUAUCUAAAAAUAUUUUAAAUAUAUAUUCGUAAAUUCAGGUGCUCUAACAUUAAAAUAAUUAUUUUUAUUUGAUAUGUUUUAAUUUUUUUUAACUUAAUUCGAACAAUUUUACCUGAUUCGACUCAAUUUUAAUUCUAUUUCACUUGAUUUGAAAAAAAUCAAAUUGAAUUAUAAUAAUAUACUUGAUUUGAAAAAAAUCAAAUUGAAUUAUAAUAAUAUAAUAGGAGUCGUGAACUAGAUUAAUCGAAGAAAAUUUUGGCAUUAUUUACCUUUACAUAAAGUUUUUUCCUUUUCUCUUUUCAUUUUUCUAAAUAUAAAAUGUCAAUUUUAGACUAUGUUAAUAAUUAUAUAUCUAAAAUAAAUAUUAUAAAAAGAUGGAAUUUUUUCUCGAGAAGUAAAUUCAUUAAACAAGCUAUGUAUUUCUUAUUGAUUUCAUUUUAUAACUAAUUUUCUGUUGCACACAUAAUAAUAAAUAAUAUUAAAAUUUAUAUUGUAAAAAUAUAAACCUUCUGAUCUUUGGGUUUCUAUUCAUGGAUGUUAAUAGAGACAUUAAGGUGGGUGAUUCAAAGUUUUGAGAGUAGAGGGAUGAGUAAUGCCAGAUGCUGAAGAAGUAUCAUUUUUAAUCCGCUACAUGAGGGAAAUUUAAUCCGUAUUUGGUUGCGUAAUUCUUGAAUGUAAGAAUUUUCUACAUGAGCGUGAGAACAUUAAAUCUAAUGCCUCCAAAAUUCAAACAAAGAAGCUUGUAAGUUUGCUAAAAUGUUCUGUAUUUUGAUUACAUUAAGAUUUGAGAUGUUCAACCAUAUUAUGUUUCUUGAUUAGUGAUUAAUAAAAUAUGUUGAUUUUUUUAAAAGGAAAUUAUCAAAUUGAAGUACUCAUUUUUCUAAUACGAUCUUGAAACAGUUUACAAAAUAAUUGAAAAUUUUAACAUAGUCCCGCUAACAAAGACGUAUCAAUAGCCAGAUGUCUUUCCGAAAAGCCCAUUGUUAAUGGUCUAGGGCUUAACUCAAUUGGGCUCCAAUCGGUUAUUUCCCCCUCAGUGCCUUGAAUCUUCAACCGAUCACUCGGGGAAGUAAUUAACUUAGUCUAAAAGGAAUCAACCCUUGGUCUUUUCUUCUCUUUUUCGCUCAAGUAAGAAGACCGAGCGGACGUUGGUCACGCUCGCGUUGAAGGUCUCGAGCAACUAUACCGGAGGAGGAAGAGAGAGUCAGGGGGAUAGAAUGUUGUUAAUCGGAGCAGAGGACGAAGAGAAAUGGCUGGCGGAAGGGAUCGCUGGUAUUCAGCACAACGCUUUUUACUUGCAUCGAGCUUUGGUAUCUCCUAAAUUUCACUGUCUCAACUUGAAUUUGAGCUCAUCAUGAUCUCCAAUCCUAUUCCAUUGGUACUAACUUGGAUCUAUCUUAUUUCAGGAUUCCAAUAAUCUUAGAGAUGCUCUCAAGUACUCGGCUCAGAUGUUAUCAGAGCUCCGGACCUCCAAACUCUCUCCUCAAAAAUAUUACGAACUUUGUAAUUCUACUUUUUCCUUUUUUUUUUCUUUUGAUUGAUGCAGUUGAGUGUGUUUGAAUUUUCAGUCUGUUUAUGUAAUUUUAUGUAUUUGCUAUUGGGAUUCCAGAUAUGCGAGCUUUUGAUGAAUUGAGGAUAUUGGAGAUGUUCUUCAAAGAUGAAAGCAAACACGGUGUCUCUGUGGUUGAUCUGUAUGAGCUAGUUCAACAUGCUGGCAAUAUUUUGCCUAGAUUGUAAGUGAUUAUUCGUAUAAUAUAUAUAUCAUUUCCAAAUUUUUGGCAUUUCAAGGCAUGCAUUUCCAUUCUUUGUAGCUACAAUUUUUUCCCGUAACUGUAGUACCCUUACACUAAAAUUGGACUCUAGUUCUUAUAUGGAAGAAACUUUGACAUUCUGGUUCAUAUAAUUAAGCUCCAAAUAGUUAAAUUGUCUUAUGAAUAUGGCUAUUCUCAGAUGUUAGACCUCCAUUGUCAUUUUGGAAAUCUAUCAGGUAUCUCCUAUGCACGGUAGGAUCUGUCUAUAUCAAAUCUAAGGAGGCUCCUGCCAAGGAACUUCUUCAAGAUCUUGUGGAAAUGUGUCAUGGAGUUCAACAUCCCAUACGUGGACUUUUUUUAAGGAGUUACCUUGCUCAAAUCAGUCGAGACAAGUUACUAGAUAUUGGUUCUGAUUAUGAGGGGUGAGAUCUCUUGAUUAGCUUUUCUUUUCCUUCCUCUCGAAAUGAGUUUCAUUUCAUAAGAUGACUGAUUCAUUGUCUUUGUCUUUGCUGAUGGGAAUUGAUAUUUCAAUGUUGUUGAACCACUUCCCAAGAUAUUGUGGUCCUUGUUCAUUAUUUUCUCCUUUCAGUAUUUUGGCUGCUUUUUUACAUUAGAUGGCUGAAAUUCAUAUUUCUCUAUUCAAAACUUUGAAGACAAUGAACUAGUUAAAUGUAGCUUUUGCACUAUUCCAUUGUUUGAACUCUGUUAACACUUAGAAACCUGUUUUGUUUUGGCUGUCUUUUGGGCCAAGGAAUAUAUGUUGUAUCUCUAUGGUAGUGCUGUAUUUGCUUCAAAGACAAUUAACCACUUGCCAGGACAUGAUUAUGUCUUCCUGCAGAGAUGCUGAAACUGUGAUGGAUGCUGUGGAAUUUAUACUGGAAAAUUUCACUGAGAUGAAUAAACUUUGGGUGCGAAUGCAGCUCGAGGUUUGUUGAAUGUCUGUUAUCAAGCUUUUUUCAAAUAUGCAAUGCACCAAAGUAAAUGCAUGCCUAGAAGUGAAAAUAUAUCAUGAGAGCAUAAAUUUUGGCCAUGCAGGUGUCAUGGUGCUUGUGAUUCAUUCAUACUCUUUGGUCAUCCUGAGUUGAAGACUUCAAUUCCAAUUUCUGGUCUGCAGGGACCUGGUAGAGUUAGAGAGAAGCGGGAAAAAGAAAGGAGCGCACUUCAAGAACUUGUAAUAUCAAUAAUCUAAAAUUUUCAAUUGGCUAAACUCUGCAUCAGUGUGCUUGAUGCACAUUCUAGGGGAAUUCAUGCUUCUGUAUUGAACUUUCUCAUUAGGUAGGAAAAAAUCUCCAUGUUCUCAGUCAGAUAGAAGGGGUGGACCUUGAGAUUUACAAAGAAACAGUUCUUCCAAGAGUCUUAGAGCAGGUAAUUUUACUUCUUUUUCCUCUGUUCUUUUUCUCUCUUUAAUAUAAAAUUGAGAGGUCCGUAGCAUUAAAGGAUUUUAUCUGGUUAUUUUGCAGGUUGUAAAUUGCAAAGAUGAUCUUUCCCAAUAUUAUUUGAUGGAUUGCAUAAUUCAGGUGUUCCCUGAUGAGUAUCACUUGCAGACUCUUGAGAUGUUAUUGGCAGCUUUCCCCCAGGUCCAGGUGGGUAAUGGAAAUGAUCUUAUUUUAACUUGUGCCUUGCCCUUCCCACUAGGCCACCUAUCCUAACAUCUCUCAACACAAUUUAUCUUAUGUGCUGGAUAACCUGAUUGUUUCCAUAGGAGUUCCCACUAUUGUUUUUCUAACAAGACCUAUGUACCUAAACUUUCCCCAUGUCCUAUAAAGUGAGCAUUCAUUGUAGAGUAGCCUGGUAGAGACUGGGUCUCUUAGUGUGUGACCUCCUCCUGUAUGGGAGGAUCUUGUUCAUUAGAACCAUUUUGGCUUUCAUUUUGUUUUAUAGUCUUUUUUAUUAUGAGGCACUAAGCUUGAUGAAUACAUUUUUCUUCUUUUAUAUCACAGCCAACAGUUGACAUCAAGACAGUUUUGUCUCGACUAAUGGACAGACUGUCAAAGUAUGCUGCUUCAAGUGCUGAUGUAAGUUAUCAGUAUAACAACUUUUACUCUUCCUGCAUUUGCAAGUUGCUGACAGACCUUUUCUACAUCAGGUAUUAACUGAAUUUCUACAAGUUGAAGCCUUCACUAAAUUGAGCAAUGCAAUUGAGAAGGUAAAACAACUAUUAUUCUCACCCUGAAGUUGCAUAGUACCUUGAAACUUAUUCCAAUGUUAUAAAGGAAUGAUUCUGUUAAAGAAUGUAAAUGCUUUGACAUAAUGAAGUCAGAUGGUGGCCCCCUGAACUUAACUGCGGAUGUUGACUCCUAUCUUGCCCCUUUUUCAUUUGCCUACCAGUAAACACAUUCCUUUAUUUUAAUGCAUUUAAUGUGGAAUAGUGAGUCAUUUUCUGCUAGCUGAUUGGGUAUGAUUCAAUGGCAGGUCAUAAAAAUGCAGGUAGACAUGCCUGCUGUUGGAGCUAUAACUUUGUACGUCUCUCUUCUUACCUUUACUCUUCGUGUUCAUCCUGAUCGGCUUGAUUAUGUGGAUCAAGUACUGGUAUGUUUCAUCUGGGGAUCUGUUUAAAAAUUUUCUCCUUUAGUGCUGUACUUCAGCCAUGCUAUUUUUCAGCAUUUGGGAACAAUGAACAUGUCAGAGUAAUAUUGGUCAUUGUUUAUUGUCGGUCAUUUGUUACAGGGAGCCUGUGUUAAGAAGCUGUCGAGCAUACCAAAACUUGAAGAUAGAUGGGCAACAAAACAAUUGGUUGCUCUUUUGAGUGCUCCAUUGGAGAAAUACAAUGAUACAGUAACAGCCUUGACACUUUCUAAUUAUCCACGAGUAAUGGACCAUCUUGAUAAUGGAACAAAUAAAGUCAUGGCAAUGGUUAUCAUUGAAAGCAUUAUGAAGAAUAAUACAUGCAUAUCAACUGCGGACAAGGCAUGCCUCUUUAUUCUUCUCUGUUUCUCUCCUUGUAUCAAGUUCUUUUCUUGAAGAAAGUAACAUUGCUUUUUGUAGGUUGAGGUGUUGUUUGAAUUAAUAAAGGGACUCAUUAAGGACCUGGAUGGUGCUACGGAUGAGGUGCAUACUGAAACUAUAAAUUUCCUGAUAUUCUAUUAAGAUUGAAAUAUUUGAAUUAUAUAACUUCUAUUACUCUGUUUCCAGAUCCAUAUUCAAUUAUUUCUUUCCUCUCUUGCUUAUUUUGUGUGUCAUGUUUUUGAGAAUGUGAAUAAGUUUCUAUUACUCUGUUUCCAGAUCCAUAUUCAAUUAUUUCUUUCCUCUCUUGCUUAUUUGUGUGUCAUGUUUUUUGAGAAUGUGAAUAAGUUUCUAUUACUCUGUUUCCAGAUCCAUAUUCAAUUAUUUCUUUCCUCUCUUGCUUAUUUGUGUGUCAUGUUUUUUGAGAAUGUGAAUAAGUUUCUAUUACUCUGUUUCCAGAUCCAUAUUCAAUUAUUUCUUUCCUCUCUUGCUUAUUUGUGUGUCAUGUUUUUUGAGAAUGUGAAUAAGUUAUCAACUUAUGGUUCUUCUUUCUUAUUCUCUUCAUGUGUUACGUAUCUGCCAUAGCUUGAUGAAGAGGAUUUCAAAGAUGAGCAAAAUUCUGUUGCUAAGCUAAUUCACAUGCUAUAUAAUAAUGAACCGGAGGAAAUGUUGAAGGUAUGCUUUUCUAAUAUUUCUUUUUAUGCUAAUUUCUGUGACAUUUUUCAGAACAAUAUGUAAGUGGAUAUUCUUGAGGGAUAGAAAAAUGGGAACUUCACCAUCUUCUUUGAGUUAGGUUUAAUGCCUGUUCAUUUCCCAUAGAACAUCAACGCUGUACCAUAGUUAGGAUAAUGUUAUGUUUAAUUACAGUGUUUUCGUUUACCUUGUUUAUAACCAAUUCAAAACCUUUAUCCCCUGAAUGAUUAUUAUAAUUGACUUCCUUUCAGAUUAUAUGUAUUGUUUGGAAGCAUAUCAUGGCUGGGGGACCAAAACGCCUACCCUUUACAGUUCCUUCACUUGUUUUUUCUGCACUUCGGGUAGGUUUCUUCCUUUUCCAUAUUGUUAUGUUCCUAUGUCUCAUCUUAUUUCUAUCUACAACGAGGAAGUAUUAAAUGCUUAUUGAUAAAAUUCUAAAAGACUAUACAUGCAGGCAGUUGGUUUUUGGAGCAUAAUCAUUGUAUUUGUUCUUAGAUCCUUCCCUCUCAUUCCCCCACCCCCUUUCCGCAACUAAAGAUCUGGUGUGAUUUAUAUAUGUAGUAGUUCAGGUUUUAUUGAAACUGAAGGCCAAAAGGGAAGGAAAAAAUUAUAUAUAUAUAACACUUGAUAAUAUUGGUAGUGAACAUAAUUCAGACAUAUUGUGGUGCUUGUGUGCAGUUGGUUAGGCAAAUGCAAGGUCAGGAGGGAGACAUAGUGGGAGAAGAAGUGCCAGCAACACCAAAGAAAAUUUUUCAGCUCUUGAGUCAGGUUUCUUUGCAGUUUAGGGAUUUAUCAUUGUUUAUGCUGUGGUCAUAUUCUCCCCCCCCCUCUCCCCCCACAAAAAAAAAAAAAAACACCUAUAUUAUCCUGCAAAAAAUCACUCUAAGAACUCUUCCUUCAGAUGAUUGAAGCACUUUCAGCUGUUCCAUCACCUGAACUUGCUUUAAGGUUGUACCUACAAUGUGCUAAGGUAAUCUUCGUUCCUUUUUUUAUUUUAUUCUUUUAAUGAAGAUAUAAUCUUGGGUCUUGAUUAUACAACUAUAGCAAAAAAGUCAUUCAUUAAAUAAUUAAUUGAAUCUCAAGAAUUCCUUUGUAUAAUAAUAAAUUUUGAUUACAUUUUAAGAGCAACAACAUGCCUUUUUUUCUAAUUGGUAUUGGGGCAAUGACACACAGAGAUUUACAAUGCCUGCUUGUAAGGAGUACGAAAUAUCUGAUGUAAGCAGGUGCAUACAAGAAGAAUCAGCUUUACAUGUGACAAGGUUUAGGGUCAUGGUUGAUAUUUCUUGUUUUAGGGUCUUGUUUUAUCGAUUCCAUACAUUAUGGAUCUAUAUUUUCGUUUUAGAUGCUAAGAGGGUGUUGUCAUUUCUAAUCUCCCCUCAUAAUGGCUUAAAUUUGAUGGUAUUCUAUCAUUAUGAUAAUGGCAAUUCAUGCAUCAUGAACAGUAUUGCAGAAUCUUUAGUUUUGUAUGAAAACCUUAAACUUUAGUUUGAACCUUCUAACCUCUAUUUUGUCCUGUCUUUUUCCUGGUGACUAUCAGGCAGCUAAUGGCUGUGAUCUUGAGUAUGUUGCUUAUGAAUUUUUCACUCAAGUGUUUGUAUUGUACGAAGAAGAAAUUGCGGUAAUUUCAGUCUCAUCAGCUAAUGUUUCAAUAAAAGAGCCAUGAAAUUAUUCACAUUCUUGUCUUCUAAUUUCUGUCGAGUGUUUGUUGCUCUUAGAACUCCAAAGCCCAAGUGACUGCAAUUCAUCUGAUAAUUGGGGCUCUACAGAGGAUGAAUGUAUUUAAUGUCGAGAACCGAGAUACUUUGACACACAAGACCACAGGAGUAAUAAUGCUUACCUCUUCUCCGAUCAUUGUGCUUUAUUGAUCUGUUUAUACCAAAUUUAAUUAUGUGCUACUUUGGUCAGUAUUCAGCUCGACUAUUGAAGAAGCCCGAUCAGUGCAGAGCCGUUUACGCAUGUUCACAUCUUUUUUGGGUUGAUGGUCAGGACGGCAUUAGGGAUGGGGAGAGGUUUGACCUGAAAACUUACCCUGAUUUAGCUUGAAAACAUUAUUCUUUCAGCAUAUGUCCACACUAACCCUUCAGGUUUAUUUAUUAUCCUUUUUAAUAAACAAUAAAUUCCUUUCAAUAGUUAGAACUAAAAACUUUAAGGGAGGUUGCAGGGUCCUGCUGUGCCUAAAGCGAGCAUUGAGGAUCGCAAAUGCUGCUCAACAGAUGGCUAGUAUUGCACGAGAUAGCAGUGGGCCACUCACGCUCUUUGUUGAGAUAUUGAACAAGUCAGUGCUUAGAGCUGUACAAGAUCGAACCUUUCUGAUACCAAAUAGCUUAAUCUUUACAAUAUAAACAUGUAUUUUGGUGGAACUUGGUUCAGGUACCUCUAUUACUUUGAAAAAGGAAAUAAACAAAUCACCGCUGCUGCGAUCCAACACCUGAUAGAAUUAAUCAAUACAGAGAUGCAGAGUGAUUCUGCAACCUCAGAUGCUUUCCUUGCCAGUACCUUGCGUUACAUUCAAUUCCAGAAACAAAGAGGAGGUGUAAUGGGUGCCAAAUUUGAAUCCAUUAAAUUGUAAGUAAAUUUUUGGGAAUGUAAAGAAUUAUCGUUGUGAGGAGGGGCAACCAUGUUAUUUAGUUUUGCAUAGUUGAUGGUUGAAGUUGGAGAGUAUUUUGAUUUUACUAUCGAACUAAACGCCUUAUGAAAUGGUCUUUAUUCUCGAGUUCUGUUACUUGUUUCCUUCUCUAAAUCUAAAAAAAGGAAGGCGUCGAGCAAGGUUUUAUUUUAUAUUUACUAUUUAAGUUUGAAAAAAGUUGAAAGCAAAUAGUUUUUCCCUUUCUAGAGGCUGUUUAAAGAACAAUAUGGUUUAUUUUUCACCUUCUGGCUUUAGGGAUGUUAAAAUAUGAAUUCUCUAACAAGUUAGUUUUUGCAAUUUAAAAUUUUGAAUUAAAAAAUUAAUAAAGAGUAGAUGUUAGCUUAAUUCCUUCCCAGCAACCAAUAAAUUUGAUCAGACUAAGAUGAUCCAUAAUUUACAGGAAGCAAAGGAUGAUAGCCGUUCAAAAAAGUUAUUUUUAUUCUAUCACAUUAAAUCAAAUCGUUAGGGGGGUGUUUUCGUGACGGGUGGAUAUUAGAAGAUACAAGGCUAAUGGUGAUAAGAUUUGCUCGAUUUGGUAUUUGUACAUAUUAAAAAUCACAUAACACUUAAAUCUAUGACUGGAAGCAUCAAUAGAGCAUAUAAUUAAAUAAAAAUGCUUUAAAUUAAAAAAGGAAAAAGAAAAAGAAAAAAAGAAAGAAUGCAAGAAACCAGUUAUUGCUACUAGGAUCUUCCUCACAUCUGGUUAAAACAUGAGUGAAGUUUAAACAUGAAAAGCAGAAGAAGCGAGCAUGUUAACAAGGAAUACUUGUCAUCUAAGUAAAAACACGAAACAAAAUCACCUGAUGCUUUCACAGAAAGUCCAUAGAAAGUCAGGUUAAGACUUGAUGCUAAACAUGAUGGCUUGCUGUUUUCCUUGAACUAGAAAAAAAAUAAGAGUAAAAUUGAUAUAGAGAUACGAGCAGCGAGAAGCUGGCAGUUGGUUCCAUCUUUUUCAGACUUGAAGAAUCUUCAUCUGAUCAUAAUAUUGAGCAACCACCUGACUUUUUCUUCUUAUUUUUAUUCGGAGGCUGCAGCACUACCUUAAUGGCUGCAUCAAACACUGCCUUCACAUUCUGCACGUUGCACAAGAUUCCAUUAGAAUUAAACAUAAAUUUUCAAUUCAAAGAUAAUGAAGACGACGUAGAAAAUAUUGAACCUGCUGUGUUUUUGAGCUACACUCAAUGUAUGCAGGAGCCGCAAUCUGUUUCUUUAAUUCCUCUCCCUUGAGGAAAAAAAUAAGUUAUCCAAGACAAAUACUUUUAAAAAUUAAGUGGAACAUGUUAUUAUCCUUGAAAGAAAAAAAAAAUUUAAUGUAUCUAUAAAUAUGUACCUGAGCUGUAGAAAUGGGCACUGCGUUAGGAUGGUCUGUUAAGAAUUGUUGAUCAUCUCGGAGAUCUGCAGCAUUAAAGAGUUGAAAACAUAAGAAAAAAUCAUGAAAUGGCAAGAAUUUCAAAACCGUUAGCAUAAAAAGGACACUCCUCUUCUAUUUGAAAAGAUUUUCGGCCACUAGUAGAAUCAACCCAAUAACAAUUUACAAAGACAAUUAUCUGGGGGAGAAACAAUGAUACCAAGCUUAGUUCCAACAAGAACUAUCGGAACACCAGGGGCAUAAUGCUUUAGUUCAGGAAUCCACUGAAAUGGGAAGCAAGAAAACACGUGAUCAGCAACAAAGUUAUUAUCUCAAGAGACAAAAUUAUUCAAUGGUUAAACCUUCUUGGCAACGUUUUCAUAACUGGCCUUGCUGAUGAGAGAAAAUGCAAGAAUAAACACAUCAGCCCCACGAUAGCUCAGUGGUCGUAGUCUAUUGUAAUCCUCCUGACCUGUUGUUCCAAAGGCAAUUAAUUUCAGACCAAAAUCUAAAAAUAACAAGGAUUUACUAAUAAUAUAUGAAAAAGGGAAUUUCAGAAGCCAUUUCCAAAUUACCAGCAGUGUCCCAUAAACCUAAGUUGACAGUGCUGCCAUCGACGACGACAUUUGCACUGAAAUUGUCGAAAACAGUCGGGACAUAGUCCUGUUAACAAAGCAAUUGUUAAAGCAAACAGUUAUGAAUAAGAAAAUGGGUAUUAAAAGAUGAUCUGACCCUGACAUAGCGCAAUCGUCCCCAACUUUGGUUUCAAUUAACUAUGAAAAGAUCUGGUUAUAGCUGAUCUGUCUACAAUGUACGACAUUAAGCCCAAUUAUAGCAGCAUUUAUGAAAGACAACCAUUUUUAAUAAUUCUUCUUUCAUUUAUGCAACAAAUGAAACGUUAUUUAUUCAGGGGUUUUUUUUU